UCAUGGCCAAAGAUGUAUUUGUGCUGCCAAACCUAGCAUCAUGAAGGAGGAUGAGAAGAAUAAGGUGUUUCAAUUCCUCAUGGGCCUUAAUGAGACAUAUAUGGGGGUAAGGAGCAACAUGUUAAUGAUGCAACCUCCUCAUAGUCUUGACAAUAUCUAUAACAUUCUCCUCAAUGAUGAAAAACAGAGACAAGUUCAGUCUGUCUCCCAGUUCAAUCCUGAUUCUAUGUCCUUCACUGUCAAUACUAAACCUUCCUUCAAUCUAGCUCCCUUGCUCAACUCUCCUCCUCCCAAACAGUAUGCCCAGAGAGUUAGUUUUGAUCAGUCUAGAGGACCCCUAUUCUAUAGAUAUUGCAAGAAGUAUGAACACUUAAUUGAUAAGUGCUUCAAGCUUCAUGGUUUUCCUCAAAGUAUCAGGUUUAACAAAGCCAAGAGACCCACUGCUGCUCAUGUCACUACUGGUGUUGACUUCACAUCCUCUCCUUAUUCUGCUGGCCAUGAUUCUCCUGCUUUUGAAAUUGAGGGUCGUUCUCCUGUCCAGCAUGCCUGCUCAUGUCAGUACUGGUGUUGACUUCACAUCCUCUCCUUAUUCUGCUGGCCAUGAUUCUCCUGUUUCUGGAAUUGAGGGUCAUUCUCCUGUCCAGCAUGUGGAUGGACAUAAUUAUGCUAUUCCUGGGUUGAGCAGAUAUCAUUAUGAUCAGUUGAUGAAUCUGCUGUUGAACAGUCCAAUUUGGGUGAAUCCACUGCUCAGACUUCUCAUGCUCAGCCAUCUCCUACUAUAUGUGCUGCCAACUUUGCUGGUACUAUGCUUACUAAAGAGGAGGCUGGUCUGUACAAAUUUGCUUGGGUGCCCCCUUUAUCUUCUUCUGCUGAUUGUUCUUCUUUCAAUUCUGUAUGCUCUAAUAAAGAUUCCUGUAAUCUUGAUUGUUCUUCUGAUCUAAAUCUUGUUGCUUUAUCUUCCAAUGUAAAUAGUUCUACUUGUCAUAAUAAAUUUGAUGAUAAUGACAUGAACUACAUUUGGCAUUUAAGACUGGCUCACAUCCCUUUUGCACACAUGAAACAUAUUUCUGCUUUAUCUUUCCCUUUUGCUUCUAAACAGCCCUUUCCAUGUUCUGUUUGUCCCAUGGCUAGGCAAACUAGA
rnacentral:lncRNA from 1 species